AGCUCCAAUAGCGUAUGUCAAAGUUGUUGCGGUUGAAAAGCUCGUAGUUGGAUCUCAAUGUAGGGCUGGCGGUGCGCCCGUAGUGGCGUUGUCUACUGCCAGUUCCUGCGAUAAAUAGAGGCCGGCGGAUUUGUUCCCUUGGUGCUCUUGACUGAGCGGCUUGGGUGGCCGGAACGUUUACUGUGAAAAAAUUAGAGUGCUCAAGGCAGGCCUACGUGCCCGAAUACUGGUGCAUGGAAUAAUAGAGAAGGACCUCGGCGCCACGUUUGUUGGUUUACGGUGCUCGAGGUAAUGAUUGAGAGGGACGGCCGGGGGCCUACGUACUGCGGCGCGAGAGGUGAAAUUCUGUGACCGUCGCAGGACGAACGAAAGCGAAAGCAUUUGCCAAGAAUGUUUUCC
rnacentral:rRNA from 1 species